AGUAAAGACAGAAGAAAACAAAUAUUGUUUUGCAUCAUUACAGAAUGAAGUAAAGAAAAAGAAUAGUUCAUAACAAAAUUUUCAAUGGAAUUAAUGAAAAUGGGUAUUUAGUAUCCAUUCAUGGUGAGGUGGAAGCCAAACAUCGAUUACUUUUGGUUCAGUGGUUAACUACUCUUCUUCCUUCAUUGUACUUUCCAAUAAAUAUCACGGAUGAUGACUUAAGAACGUGCUUGAGCCAUGGCACAGUUUUGUGCCAGAUACUGAACAAGCUACGACCUGGUUUCGCGAAUGUGGUUAAUGAAGAUGGUCAUACUCUGCCAUCACAAUGAGAGAAUGUUAAAACAUUUCUGAAAGCUUUGGAUGGAUUGGGAUUGCUCCGGUUUGAAAUAUCAGACCUAGAGAAGGGAUGGUUUCCCAACAAGAUCUUGCUUGUUCGACCACUAUUUCUCUUGAUGAUUGAUUGACCAAUGUGUUUUGGUCAUGCAAGACUCAUUUUUUUUCUUUCUAGUUAUCAGUGUCUUGGUAGAUUCUAUUAAUGGUAAAUUUUUGACAGAGCUUACUUCAGUCUUCUGUGUACCACAUAUUUGUUCCAAUUCCUCUUUUACGCCUCAUGUUAUACUCUUGCCAAAUAGCCUGGUGAAAUUUCUUGAUACUA